rnacentral:tRNA from 1 species
UGUGGCUCAGUGGUAGAGCGCUCGCCUAACACGUGCGAGGCACUGGGUUCGAUUCUCAGCA